rnacentral:rRNA from 1 species
UACAGAGGUCCCAAGCGUUAUCCGGAUUCACUGGGUUUAAAGGGUGCGUAGGUGGGCAGGUAAGUCAGUGGUGAAAUCUCCGAGCUUAACUCGGAAACUGCCGUUGAUACUAUUUGUCUUGAAUAUUGUGGAGGUAAGCGGAAUAUGUCAUGUAGCGGUGAAAUGCUUAGAUAUGACAUAGAACACCAAUUGCGAAGGCAGCUUACUACACAACGAUUGACGCUGAGGCACGAAAGCGUGGGGAUCAAACAGG